rnacentral:lncRNA from 1 species
AAGACAUUUGGAAUAUUCCUGUUAGGCGAGUUGAUUUGGUUUAAGUUUGAUUAAUUCGGAAUUUAAAAAAUUUAAAUCAUUUCAUGUUUCAAUUUUUUUAAGAGGUUUGGAUUGUUUCAGAUUGGAAUCACUUUGGUUGUUGUCAUUUAGAUUUACUAAUUUAACUUUUAAAUUUGAGUUAUUUUGGGUAAUUAUAUUUUUGGGUCACUUUAGGAUAAUUAGGGUGAGUUUGGAUGGGUGGUGCAUUUACUUGCGGUUAGUGUAAAAACAGCGGUGGCGGUGAGAUUAUAUACUGUAGCGAUACUGUAGCGUGAGACAAAACGUACCACACCGCACCCAAUCGCCCAUUCAAACCCACCCUUAGUUGGAUUUUUGUAUCAUUUAUUUUAAGUUUGAGUUAUUCCGAAUAUAAAUCAUUCUAGAUUGAUGGGUUUUUCAAGUUGAAUCAUUUUAGGAUUUUUUCCAUUCAGGUUUAAUACUUAAGUUUGGACCACUUUGGAUAAUUUGUUCCCGUUAUUUUUAAGUUCGAGUCGUUCGAAGUUUUGAUCAUGUUUGAGCUUAGAUCAUUUCAAAUUUGAGUUGUUAAAUUUCUAUGAUUAAAUAAAUUGAAUCUGAAAUGAGUUUGAAUUAAUUGGGUUUGUGAUCAUUGACACUAGUAAAUGGGUUUUUGUUAAACAAUUGAAGGAACUGAAGACAUGGACCGGUUAAUAACGACAGUGCCAGGCAUGGAAACUUAUCUUCGAUGUCGAGACCUUCCUACUUUUUGUCGAAAACUGGACAUUGAAGAUUCAUUUAUGAAGCUAGUCGUAAAAAAGACACGAAAGAGCCUUCAAGCAGAUGCCUUGAUACUCAACACCGCCGAAGAGCUCGAUGGGCCUAUACUAUCUCAAAUACGCACCAAAUGCCCUCGUGUCUAUGCCGUUGGACCCUUACAUGCUCAAUUAAACACUAGACUCAAUGUAAAACAUGGAGAAUCAUAUGAUCAUUUCUCGAAUACACUUUGGGAAGUGGAUAAAAGCUGCAUCUUUUGGCUCAAUAAGCAACCAAAUCGAUCUGUUAUCUAUGUAAGUUUUGGUAGCAUUACGAGCACGUCAAGGGAGCAACUUUUAGAGCUUUGCUAUGGACUUCUUAACAGUAAAACGAAGUUCUUGUUUAUUGUAAGGCCAAAUUCCGUGAUUGGAAAAGAUGGUGAAGGGGAGGAUGUUGUAAUGGAGCUUAUGGAGAAGAGUAAGGAUCGAGGUUACAUUGUAAAUUGGGCACCACAAGAGGCGGUCUUGAACCACCCAGCCGUUGGCGGGUUCUUUACGCAUAAUGGAUGGAACUCGACUUUGGAGAGCAUCGUCGCACGGGUGCCUAUGAUUUGCUGGCCUUACUUUGCUGACCAACACGUGAAUAGUAGGGUUGUGAGUGAGGUGUGGAAAAUAGGGUUGGAUAUGAAGGAUGUAUGUGAUAGAAAGAUAGUUGAGAAAAUGGUAAAUGAUGUGAUGGUGGAUCGAAAGGAGGAGUUUGCAAAAUCCGCAUCUGAAAUGGCUAAGGUAACCAAUCAAAGUGUUAAUGUUGGUGGGUCUUCUUAUAGUAAUUUGGACUGUUUAGUUGAAGAUAUUAGAAUAAUGAGCUUGAAAAAACUCACAAAAUGAGCUUUGAACCACCCAGCCGUUGGCGGGUUCUCUUCAUUUUAAUUUUUUUUAUUGCAAUAUCUCUUUAAACAAAGUAAUUGAAUAGCAGUAAAACUUUUCAAAAUAUCCUUACAUGAUUGAAUAACUUGAUCAAUUACAAUCACCAAAUUUUUUUAUUAUUAACCUUAAAAAUAUGUACAACAAUAGUUACUUAAAUCCUAUCAAAAUAUGCCAAUAAAAUAGGUAAUUUAUAAACAACUUAAUUGCAAAUUGAGUUGUGACUAACUGAGUAAUUGACGAAUGAUGCAAGUCCCAAGACCCAAUUUCAGACUAAUGAAUGUGAUGAUUCACAUUACCUCAAAGCCCAACAAUAGUGUCAAAGGUCAAACAAAUCAAACUAAGAUCCAAUCAAAAACAAUAUUCGAGUAUGAAUUUUUUCGAGAAAAGGGGGGAUGAUAUAUGUAUGAAUGGGAUGAAAUUUAUUACAUUUCAUUCACCAAAGCUGUCAACUUUCAAGUUUAGGAAAUCAACAAACUUGCAACGCCUUUUUGGAUGAGAUCCAGGCAUAUCUGGGUUGAGACUCUUCAUGGUGUUCGAAAUUUAUCUAUCUUGGAUUUGAUUGCGUUUCAGAUUAUGUCAAAAUUCUAAAUUUCUUUCCUAACGUCUAGAGGCCUAAGUCAAUUUCGUGAUUUAAACAAACUUUACAAUCCACUUCCACAUUCAUCCGCCUCAACCUUUAUCAAUGACACUAACAUUCUCACCCUUUGACACUAACAACUACAGUAUUAUCUUCAUAAAAUGAGCUAACAUAAAGAAGUAGCAAGUAGCAAACAUUAUGAAUAAACGGAAUACUUAACAGUAAAAAGCAUGCAAAAGGAGAACUCCCCUUCGAUAGUAGCAUCAAUACAUCCCCCCAAUAAACACAAUAGAACGGGAGCGGGCUUUUAUUUCUUUUCUUAAAAUGUGAAUGCAUGGUAAAGAUGGUUUUUUUUUUUUGCACUAUAGGUUGAAGUGGUUAUAAUUAUUAUUUUCUUUGCUCCACCCUAGGCUCAUUAUAUAAAGUUAUUAUUUUACCUUUUAUAUUUAUUGAUACAACAAGGGAGGAAGAUAAGGAGGAGGUCAAGAUGGUGCAAUGAAGGCCAAUUCACCUAAAGAGGUUGAGAGUCGAAACAAGAACAAAUGACAGACUAACCAAGAAGACAAUUGCUCAUUAACUCUAGAGCGCUAAAAAAAAAGGAUCUUUUUGCAUCAUUCCUUAGAAUAUUUUCUCUUGUCCACUGAUAUGACAUGGCCAGAUAAACAUUCAAUCCCGCAAAAUGUGUAAAGGAUAUUUAUAGGUGUAAAUCAUGGGACCUUAUCAAUAUGAAAUUAUUAUGCCUAAAUGGACUCUUUAUCAUAUAAAGAGUGCAUUCAUACUAAAAGAAUGUUAAUACUUAAAACGGGUGGAUGAUUCCAUCUAAGAGGAACGAGUGGUCUAUUGAAGUGAUACUUCAUAUGAAGUCAACAAGAUGUCUAUAAAGCAUCUGAUAUUGACACGUGUUCGAGUGACGGAGGGGUAUAGCAACAUUAAAAGAGUAAAAAUAUAAAAAUAUGUUUGAGCCUUGAAUUACCAAGUUAAGACUUAGUGGUUUCUGAUUUCUAAUUGCUAAUAUAAGAAUAUUAAGAUAAAUUAAUUGCUAGGGAAUUUUUAAUUUUUAAGGUAAAUUCAAUUCCUAUUUACUUGGGAGGUUGUCCUAAGUAAUCAAAAUUAUGUUUAAAAUAUUAAAAAUAAUUAAGAAAAAUCAAAAUGAAACAACGUAUGGUAAAAUGAGAAUGGAUAUAUUUAAUAUCUAUAAUGAAAAUAAUAAAUUAUAAAAUUAAAUAUUUAUGAUGGAACGAAAUAGAUAAUAAAAUAAUUUAAGAUUUAACAAUAUUUAGAAUGGAGAGCAAUGUUAUGUUGGCUUUACUUUUCGGACCAAUAAUUGGGAAGUCGAUUUUGUUUGGGAUUUUGGUGUUUUUUUUUUUCAGAAUUGGUGCAUGAAAGGGUCGGCGAAAAUGGGUAAAUUGGCUAAAUCAUGUGACCGUGUCAGUCAGUGGUCCUUAUUAUUGCAACUAUGAUAAAAUCAUGUUGUAAUAAAUAAUUGUAGUCACGUGACAUGCAAUAAGAUGGAAUCUUUCUGAUUUCUUUUUGCAAGUUUUAGAAGUACGAGUUGGACAAUGUUGUCUUUAAUUGCAGGCUGAUUUGAUGCAAAUGCAAUUUUUUUUUAUAAUAAUCAAAACAAUAAAUAAAUUGUGUCUAGUGCUCUCAUCUUUUAGAAUAUCUUAAUCUCCAUGACAGCUAUCAAACAUAUAUAAAAUUUCAUUAUUCAAGAGUGUUAUUUUUGUUAAUAUGUCUGCACUUUUAUUAUUCAUUUUAGGAACAUAUCAAAGGAUCAUAUCUUCUUUUUAGCUAGGAAUGUUGAAUCAUCCUAAUUAAGGUUAGUUUUUUCAGGUUUGUUAUCACUAAUAGCUGUUACGACCUCAAGACUAUUAGAAUAAAUGAUAAUCUCAUCAGAUCUUUAUUUUUUUUAAUCUAUGUAAACUAUUUAAUACGUCCCAAAAUUCGGCAGCUACAACCGAACAUUUCUUCAAAAAGCGAUUAUAGUCCAAAAUCUAAUUUCUCUUCCCAUCACAUAUUACUCUACCUACAGCUGAAAACUAGAAAUAGAAUUAACAGCACCUUCAAUAUUAAGAAGAAAACCCAUAGCUGCAGAUCCAUCACCAAGACUUCAUUAUUUGUUGGCCUUGCUUUGGUGACCAACAAUUGAACAGUAGGUUUGUGGAGGAAGUCUGGAAAUUAGGAUUAGAUAUGAAGGAUGUGUAUGAUAGGAGAGUUGUGGAGCAAACGGUGAAUGAUUUAAUGGUGGAAAAAAGGGAGGAGAUUUUGAAAUCAGCUGCUGAAUUUGCUAAAUUGGCUAAAGGAUCUGUGAAUAUUGGUAGGUCUUCGUAUUAUAAUGCAUGGUAUCAAGAGCCUUUGUAUAAGUUUUUUUUUCCUCUGGUUCUUUUCUCUCUAUUUGUUCAUGGCUACAGAUGGUAGUGACACUCCUCGCCAUUCUAGUGAUUCUGGUGCUGCAGUUCAUCAAUCGGAUUCGGGGGUCCUUCAAUCUUCCGGAAUUCAUUAUUUUUCUAAGCAUGAUACAAUUAAGCUUAGUGAACAUAAUUUUCUUUUGUGGAAACAUCAGUUGAUGUUGAUCUUGGAAAGGUAUGGCCUUGAAGGAUUUGUUUUAGGCACCACGCUUCCUCCUCCGGCGUUCAUAACGGGUUCUGAUGGACAACUGGUAGCGAAUCCUGCGUUUUUUGCUCAUAACAAACAAGAUAAGUUUCUUGCCUCAUGGCUUUUAUCCACCAUUUCUGAUGAAGUAUUAGUUCAUUUAACAGCAACUAAAACCAGCUCUGAUACCAUGUCAAGAUACAUUGAAUUACUGAUGAUAUUACUGAUGAUAAAGUGCAGUACAUCAGAGUAUUUAAUACAAGAAUAUCUCAACUGCUAAUGAUAACUGCUAAGAGAUACUAACAACCUAACUACUUUGGACUAACUAACUCUUAUCCAUAACAUAGGGACAACAAAAUGAGGGACCUUUCCCAUCCCCACUUUUUUUAUUAAAUUAUUUCCUAGGUUCCUGCUAAUUUCGAAUUAAACAAUUUGCCCCUAAUUUCUUUAAUUACCUCUUACAUCUUUGUCAACUUUUAAAUUAAUAAUCGUAUCUGUUUGCUUUUAUACUAAUAUAUGGUUUUCAAUUGAUAAGAUAAAAAUAUUAAAAAAUAAUUUAAAUUACUAAUAUCUCGUAUUAAUUGAUACGAGUUAUGAUAAUUAUCAAUAUAAAUCGAUAUUAAUUAAAACAUAUUAAAUUUUUUCUUAAAAUUGAACUUAAAUUAUUUGGUAUCAAAAUGGUGGGGACUAUUAUCCUCUAAUGUUUUAUCUUGAUUCUGUCCCUGCCCGAAGUAGCUAGUGAAGGGGAAUAAAGAUGUUUCGUAUAGGAAAAUUGCUUUAACGAAAAUGGUGAAUGAAAUUGAUGGUUGAAAACAAAGAAGAGAUUGAGAAAUCUGUCAGCGGCCUUGCUGCAAUUUCGAUUGUUUUAUUAAAGACAUAAAAGAACAUGUUGUAAUUAAUUAACUUGCAGUCACAUGGCAUGCAAUAAAGAUGUAUUUUUUCUUUUUAAAUUAGAUCCAAGGUUAUUAAAUAUUAAUAAAUUUAUAUUUUGAUUAAUUAACUAGAUAUAAAAUAAUCACUACUAUUCAAAAGAUUUUAUUUAAGUCAUUAGCUUUAAGUUUGGUUUACAAGCUUCAAACAACAAUUCGACGAAUAGUAUGGUAGAUCAGUACCCAUCAAGAAAUAGAAGAACAUAACUUAGAUCCAAGUCAAUCUGACAGUCAGUGUUGGAGAUUGAAGAAGAAAGUUAUUUGGAUUUUGGUUCGUAAAAAUGAAAAAAUUUGAACCGUACAAGAAAAGGGGAAGAAAAGUUUUCGAUUUGUGCAAGCGAUGCGAACGGAAAAAACUAUACAAUAACGAUUUUAACUGUUAAGUAACUUAAAUAAAAACUUCGAAUAAUUUUAUUACUAUUUUAUAACUUUAUGAAUUCGAGUGAACAAUAUAUAAUUUAACUAGUAGUUUUUAUUUACGGUUUUGAAGCCUAUAUUAUUUUCAUUCAAGCUUUUGUUUAUUGUUUUGAAGGUUUUAUUUGGUGUAAUAUUUUAAUUAUGCUCAACAAUUUCAAUAAUAUUAAUUUACAUUAAUUGCAUGAAAUAAAAAAAUUACUUUUAAUGAAAAAUAAAUAAAUAAAAUCAUUAAUUAAUUUACUUUAAAUGGGUGAAUUGAAAAAAUAUAUUAGAAAAUAAAAAUAAUAUUAUAACCAUAUUUUUUCUUAAAACUUAAAAAAAUUAAAACAAAAUUAAUUUUCCUAUAUUUAAAUUUUAGCCCCAAUAAAUUAUAAUAGAACUUUUAAAUAAACUAUAAAUUCAAAAAAAAAGAACUUUUAAAUAAACUCUUUUGAUUUUUUUUAUUUUAACAAUUUGUAAUAUUCGGAAAAUAAAUAUCACGAAAAGCACUUUAAAAAAAUAGAAUGUAUUAAUCUCAAAAGAAAGAAAAAGUCAUUAAGAAUAUAACAAGUGCGCCACACAUCCUGUAACACCCCUAAUUCGUAGUCGACGCCAGAACAGGGUUACGGAGCAUUAUUGGACUUAUAAAUCAAACAAUCACACAUGACGUAUAUAUUUAUCAUUCGUAUCAAAAACUAUUCAAAUACAUUUAUAAAGUCCCUAAUACGAGCCCUUAAGGCCCAAAUAGACAUUAGAAGUGAUUUGGGACUAAACUGAGUUCGGCAUUUACAACCAUACAAAGCUUUAUACGGUGCCAUCUUAAUGCUUGAUUGAAAGCUAUUAUUAUACGCAAAUUCAACCAACGAUAAAUAGUUUUCCCAAUUACCUUGGAACUCUAGAACACAGCAACACAACAUAUCCUCAAGAAUUUGAAUUACUCUCUCAGACUGACCAUCGAUUUUGGGAUGAAAUGCAGCGCUAAAAUGCAACCGCGUACCCAAAGCCUCUUGCAAUUUCUUCUAAAACCAUGAUGUAAAUUUGAGAGCAACCAAUCCGAAAUAUUACCUUCAAAUAACUGUUUAUUUUGAUUAGAGGAAAUGAUUUGAGUUCAAAUAUCCUUCGUACAUGGACAGCCCCUAAGAACAUGUAAAACAUCAUUUGUGUGGUGACCACAAAGAUGACACAACUCAUCAUGUCCAAUUCCCCUUCAGACUUUUUCAGAGAAAGUUAAAAGUCUUUUCUUUAGGAUUAUCCAGAUGAACUGUCUAACUCUUUGAAGGCCCGAUAUAUUUUUACCAUUCGUAUCAAAAACCAAUCAAAUACAUUUAUACAGUCCCUAAUAGCCCUCAAGGCCCCAAAUAGACAUUAAAAGUGGUUCAGAACUAAACCGAGUUCUCUACGAAUUUUUAAGAAAACAUGAAAAAAUUUUAAAGUGUAGGGGUCACAUGGCCGUUUGGAUAGGGGACAUGCCCAUGUGGCUAUGGGACACUCCCGUGCCUCAGGCCGUGUUUGAUCUCAUGUAACUCUCUAACUUGGGUCAUGUGGCCAAACCACACGUCCGUGUGCUAGGCCAUGUACCCUUCGAAAUGGCCUCACACGCCUUUGUGCCAGGCCGUAUGUUAAGUGGUGUGAAAACUAGAGGGUAUACUGACUUAUGACACACAGCCAAACCACACGCCCAUGUGCUUGGCCGUGUGAGGCUACUGACUUGAUUUCAAAAGAAACAUUAGGGGACACACGACCGUGUCACCUGGCCGUGUGUCGCACACGGCUGAGACACACACUCAUGUCUCUGCCCGUGUGGACAAAAAUAGGCCAUUUUCCAAGCCAUAUUCCUCACCCACAUUAGUACCAACCUAUACACAUCAAUUGACACACAACCAUGGCAUAAAUAGGUACUCAAGGCCAACCAAUAUCAAUUUUAUAACAUGAACAUUUACACCACAACAUGAUAUAACAAACAAAUUCAUUCAACCACCUUAAAACAUACCCAAAAGAUCAUUUAUACAUAUUUACAAGCCAAGUUUACCAAAAUAAGCCAAAUCACAUAGUUUUAUACGUAUAACCAAAACAACAUAAGACAUAUAUGCCACAUUAACCAAAACACCUAUACAUGUCAUUUAACCCAAAAUGUAAAGUCCAAGUACCAAAAUAAAGUUUGAUAAUGCGACGUGAUCUCCGACAAUUUCCGAAUCGAGUGAGCUUCCAAAAUACUAUAAAACAUGAACAAAUAAACAGAAUAAGCAAUUAAGCUUAGCAAGUUCGUAAUUCAAAGAAUAAAACUUACCGUAUAACUAAAAUUUUAGGUAAAUAACUCCAAACAUAAUUCGAUUCAGUUUGGCCUAAGCCUAUCAUACAACCCAUAAUCAAGUUAAUCAUGUAUUCACAUAAAUCUGAAAAUCAUAUAUGAAUUCAUCAAUUUAUCAAAUUCUCUAUACAUGUAACAUCUAGUCGUAUAUCAAAUAUCAACCAUUUCCAUGCAAAUACCUGUACUUGUCAAAUCGGACUUGUAUAAUCCCGUAAUAACACUAUGCCCAUUGAACCAUCUAAAAUAUCGUAGGAUACGCGGGUAGUGCACACAAAGUGUACUAAAUGGUAAACCGUCAAUUCUUAUACAUGUGUCCUCAUACGAGCGAUAAACAGUAAGCUCAUCCGAGCUUAAUAUCAGUAAACUCUUCCGAGCAGAAUAACAGUAAGAUCAUCGAGGAUAGGUACAUGGACAUAGCUAAAGGGGCUGACAGGGGCCUUAAUCCCCCUAAAUGAAAUUUUUUUCAUGUAGGUCUUUUAAAAUUUUUAAAAUUUUAAAUUAUAAGAGAUAAAAUUACACUUUAACCCCCUAAAAAUGAUAAAAUUUUGAUUUAAUCUUUUAAAAAUUAUAAAAAUAUAAACUAUUAAAAAUAAUAAAAUUCUAUUUUUAUCAUUAUAAAAAUUAUAAUUUAAUUUUAGACAUGAAAAAAUUUUCUAACUUUACUCUUAGAUAAGAGCCUAAUUGGUUUCCUAAAAAUGAUAAAUAUAUCAUUUAUUUCUUAACUUAUAAAUUAAUAUAUUGGUGAAAAAAAAAUUGACAACAUUCUCCACCUUAUCCAAAGACGACAUCUUUUGGCCAUUAAAUAGCUUCCAAAAUGUCGAUUCUUUAGCACAUAAAACUCAAAAAGCCCCUCAAAACAGACCCUCCAAUUAGAUGGAGCAGGAUCGAUCCUCUCAAUCCCGUCCUCCACAUGUCCUCGUCUUCCCCUUUCCAUUACAAGGCCAUAUAAACUCCAUGAUUAAGCUAGCUGAACUGCUAGCUAUCGCCGGCUUCAAGCUCACUUUCCUCAACUCCCACCACAACCAUGAGCGCUUGGUCAAGUUCAACAAUAUUGCUGCCCAUUCUGAAAGAUACCCAGGGUUCCAAUUCAAGACCAUAACCGAUGGUCUCCCUCUUGAUCAUCCUAGGUCAGGGAACUGGUUCCUUGAUACGUUAGAAGAUACCAUGGAACUUAAGAUGAAGGAAAGUUUGAGAGAGGUACUUGUGAAUAGUAGCCCGCCAGUAGAUUGCAUAAUUGGAGAUGGGGUUUUAAGCUUUGCUCUUGAUGUUGCAAAGGAGCUUGGAAUCCCCAUUAUUUUUUUUCGUACCAGCAGUCCUCGUUGUUUCUGGGUUAGUUAUUCUAUCCCUGAUAUAAUCCAAGCUGGGGAGCUUCCUAUCAAUGGUAAAUCCACUUCUUUUUCAUCAACUUUGUUUAUUGUACCAUGUUUAGCACUGUUUUUAAUUUAGAAUAACACAAAACCUUAAGUUGAAAUGAUUCUACAAGCAUGUUGAAGAAAUUAACGAGAAAGACAUUUGGAAUAUUCCUGUUAGGCGAGUUGAUUUGGUUUAAGUUUGAUUAAUUCGGAAUUUAAAAAAUUUAAAUCAUUUCAUGUUUCAAUUUUUUUAAGAGGUUUGGUUUCGGAUUGGAAUCAGUUUCGUUGUUGUCAUUUAGAUUUACUAAUUUAACUUUUAAAUUUGAGUUAUUUUGGGUCAUUAUAUUUUUGGGUUACUUUAGGAUAAUUGAGUUUUUGUAUCUUUUAUUUUAGGUUUGAGUCAUUCCGAAUAUAAAUCAUUCUAGAUUGAUGGGUUUUUCAAGUUGAAUCAUUUCAGGAUUUUUUCCAUUCAGGUUUAAUACUUAAGUUUCGACCACUUUGGGUAAUUUGUUCCCGUUGUUUUUUAAGUUCGAGUUGUUCGAAGCUGUGAUCAUGUUUGAGCUUAGAUCAUUUUUUUUCCAUUCAGGUUUAAUACUUAAGUUUCGACCACUUUGGGUAAUUUGUUCCCGUUGUUUUUUAAGUUUGAGUUGUUCGAAGCUGUGAUCAUGUUUGAGCUUAGAUCAUUUAAAAUUUGAGUUGUUAAAUUUCUAUGAUUAAAUAAAUUGAAUCUGAUAUGAGUUUGAAUUAAUUGGGUUUGUGAUAAUUGACACUAGUAAAUGGGUUUUUGUUAAACAAUUGAAGGAACUGAAGACAUGGACCGGUUAGUAACGACAGUUCCAGGCAUGGAAACUUAUCUUCGAUGUCGAGAUCUUCCUACUUUUUGUCGAAAACUGGACCUUGAAGAUUCAAUAUUUAUGAAGCUAGUCGUAAAAACGACACGAAAGAGCCUUCAAGCCGAUGCCUUGAUACUCAACACCGCUGAAGAGCUCGAUGGGCCCAUACUAUCUCAAAUACGCACCAAAUGCCCUCGUGUCUAUGCCGUUGGACCCUUACAUGCUCAAUUAAACACUAGACUCAAUGCAAAACAUGGAGAAUCAUAUGAUCACUUCUCGAAUACACUUUGGGAAGUGGAUAAAAGCUGCAUCUGUUGGCUCAAUAAGCAACCGAAUCGAUCUGUUAUCUAUGUAAGUUUUGGUAGCAUUACGAGCACGUCAAGGGAGCAACUUGUAGAGCUUUGCUAUGGACUUCUUAAUAGUAAAACGAAGUUCUUGCUUGUUGUAAGGCCAAAUUCCGUGAUUGGAAAAGAUGGUGAAGGGGAGGAUGUUGUAAUGGAGCUUACGGAGAAGAGUAAGGAUCGAGGUUACAUAGUAAAUUGGGCACCACAAGAGGAGGUCUUGAACCACCCAGCCUUUGGCGGGUUCUUUACGCAUAAUGGAUGGAACUCGACUUUGGAGAGCUUCGUCGCUGGGGUGCCUAUGAUUUGCUGGCCUUACUUUGCUGACCAACACGUGAAUAGUAGGGUUGUGAGUGAGGUGUGGAAAAUAGGGUUGGAUAUGAAGGAUGUAUGUGAUAGAAAUAUACUGGAGAAAAUGGUAAAUGAUGUGAUGGUGGUGUUGCGGAAGCGACGAUAAUAUUAAUAACAAUAUUAUCAGAAAUAUUUAGAUAAUUAUUAUGCCAACAAUUAUACUAAGAAAAUUCCCAGUUAAAUUGGAGGGGUCACAAAUGGUCCCGCUUAAAACCCAACAACUAGACAGAACUCACUUAGAUAUUUAUGGCAAUAAUAACUAAAUAAAUAUAACCAACAUAAAGCUAUUAAAUAUAAGCAAACAAAUAAGAAAUAAAAUACCAGAGAUUUAACGAGGUUCGGCCAAUUUAGCUUACGUCCUCGGACACUACCAAAUUAAUAUUUCUUCUAGAAAUAUUACAAAGGAGAAGAUUUUGGGAUGAUACAACCAAAGGGGGAGGGGUUCUAUAUAUAACAAACCAAUCCCCCUCCAUUUCUAUCUUUUCCUAAUGUGGGAUAUUGCCAAUAUUCAACAAAUCUCCACCUUGGCGAUAUUCCACAUCUUCGAACAUCUUCUCAUAACACAAACUUCAAUAGUGUCUUCAAAUUUGCAACCAAUCGCCUUCUUCCCUUUUGGUAGUUGUGUCAGCUUCCACGUCUUGUUUUUCUCUAGAGAUUGCAUUUCCUCUUCCAUUGCACCUAACCAUCUAUUAUUCUCUAAACUCUGAAUGGCUUCGGUGUAAGUGGAUGGAAUAUUAUCAACAACUGGAAGUGCAUAAGCUACCAUGUCAGUGAAACGAGCAGGUUUCUGAAUUUCUUGUCUCUGCCUUCUGACUGCAAUUGGCUCUGAUUGCUGUUGAGGUUCUUGGGUAGAAACCUCUUCCUCAUCUGACUCUGCAUCUGCCAAUGAAGAAUCACUAGUGGUACCUUUUGCUGGAAUUACCACACUCUGCUCAAACUCCACCUGCUGCGGAGUACACUCCACCUGCUGCGAAGUACUACUCACUCCUUCUGGAUUUACCUUAUUCAACAUGGCAGAUUCAUGAAAGGUAACAUCCCUACUGAUUAUCGUCUUCUUUGCCUCUAGACACCACAAACGAUAUCCCUUAACACCAGCAUUGAAGCCCAUGAAUAGAGCCUUCUUUGCUCUUGGAUCUAACUUUGAUUCUUUCACAUGAUAAUAUGCAAUAGAACCAAAAAUGCGCAAGGUGUCAUAAUCAGUAGCAGGUUUUCCAUACCAUUUCUCCAAAGGAGUCUUGCCAUUUAUAGCAGAUGAUGGCAAAUGAUUGAUGAGAUGUUGAGCGUACGUCACAGCCUCAGUCCAAAACUUUCUAUCUAAUCCAGCAUUAGAUAACAUACAUCGAACUUUCUCCACAAGCGUUCGAUUCAUACGCUCUGCCACCCCAUUCUGUUGCGGUGUUCCACCUACGGUGAAGUGCCUUACUAUGCCACAAUCUUGGCAUAUCUUCAGGAAAGGAUCGCUUUUAUAUUCUCCACCGUUGUCUGAUCGGAGAACCUUAAUCUUCCUUCCUGUCUGAUUUUCAACUUUAGUUUUCCACUUAAGGAAAACUUCAAGCACCUCAUCUUUGUUCUUCAUAGGAAACACCCAAACUCGUCUAGAAAAAUCAUCAAUAAAGGUGACAAAAUAACGUCUUCCUCCAAGUGAUGGAGUCUUGAACGGUCCCCAUACAUCAGAAUGCACAUAAUCCAGAAUACCUUUAGUAUUGUGAAUCCCAGUGCCAAAUUUCACCCUUCGUUGUUUUCCCAGAACACAAUGCUCGCAAAAUUCAAGUUUGCAAGUCUUUGUACCUUCCAAUAAUCCUUGCUUGGCUAGAGUUUGCAAGGAUUUUUCACCAGCAUGGCCCAAACGCAUAUGCCACAGCUGUGUUGCCUCAGCGUCCUUCUUGGUACUCGUAAUUGCUGCUGCUGUUGUCCCGACCACUGUACUACCUUGGUAGUAAUACAGAUUGUUCUUUCUUAUGCCUUUCAACAUCACCAAUGCUCCUGAAGUUGCUUUAAGAACUCCAUCUCGUAUUGUCACAACUAGGCCUUUAGAUUCUAACGACCCCAAAGAGAUGAGAUUCUUCUUCAACUUUGGGACAUAUCGUACAUCCCGCAAAAUUCUAGUAGAUCCAUCAUGACACCUCAGUUUAAUUGAACCUAUCCCGGCUAUUUUACAUGUGUUAUCAUUACCCAUGUAAACAACCCCUUCAUCUAGUUUUUGAAAUUCAAAGAACCAUUCCCGAAUGGGACACAUAUGAUAGGAACAACCAGAAUCCAUGAUCCACUCAUCUGCAUAUAAUGUUGAAGAUGUCAUACUAAGAGAAAAGUCUGACUCUGCUUCACUAUUGCAUUCUGCAACAUUUCCAUCUUGCGGAGUCUUCCCUUUUUUCUUCAAUUUUGGACAAUCUUUCUUCCAACGUCCUUUUUCUUUGCAAAAAGAACAUUCAUCUUUGGCAACAGCUCGACCUUUGGACUUUCUUCUCUUCCCCUUAGACUGACUUUGCUGACGACCUCUUGUUACCAAUGCUUCCACUGCUACUUCACCUGAACCUUUCAACUUAUCCUUUCGGCGUAGUUCAUAGCUAUACAAUGCAGCAGUUACUUCAUUGAAAGUUACUUCCGAUUUUCCAUGAAGUAGAGUAGUUUCAAGGUACUCAAACUCCUCAGGAAGCGAUCCCAACAACAUUAACGCCAAGUCUUCGUCUUCAAAAGUCACAUCCAAAUUCAACAAAUCAGCCACCAGCUGAUUAAAAUUGGUAAUGUGCUCGUUCAUCGUGGUACCAGGAACAUAAUUGAAACGAAACAGUCUUUUCUUCAUAUGCAACUUAUUUUGACUGUUCUUCUUCAAGAAUUUCUCCUCCAAUGCUUUCCACAAUUUACUUGCAGAAGUCUCUUUACUGAAUGUAUACUUUUGCUCUCUGGAAAGACAUGAUCGAAUUGUACCACAUGCCAAUCGGUUGAUGGUCUUCCAUUCUUUAUCAUCAACCCCUUCUGGUUUUUCUUCCUCAAUGGCAAUAUCUAGACCCUGUUGAAAGAGGGCAUCUAGAAGCUCACUUUGCCACAUGCCGAAAUGACCUGUUCCAUCAAAAAUUUCCACUACAAAUCUCGUAUUUGCAGUUCCAAUCCUCGGCAAAAUGUACGAAGUGGAAGUUGUUGAUAUGGAUUGUUUUUCUUCUGUCAUUUUUGCCAUAGCUUCUAUUUAAUAGCCACCAAAUGCGGAAUACCCACAAGCUUUCGGAAAUGUUUCUGAUGUGUAAGAUCAGACUAAGCUGCAAACACAGAGCAUACUACAAAACCUUGGCUCGGAUACCAAUUGUUGCGGAAGCGACGAUAAUAUUAAUAACAAUAUUAUCAAAAAUAUUUAGAUAAUUAUUAUGCCAACAAUUAUACUAAGAAAAUUCCCAGUUAAAUUGGAGGGGUCACAAAUGGUCCCGCUUAAAACCCAACAACUAGACAGAACUCACUUAGAUAUUUAUAGCAAUAAUAACUAAAUAAAUAUAACCAACAUAAAGCUAUUAAAUAUAAGCAAACAAAUAAGAAAUAAAAUACCAGAGAUUUAACGAGGUUCGGCCAAUUUAGCUUACGUCCUCGGACACUACCAAAUCAAUAUUUCUUCUAGAAAUAUUACAAAGGAGAAGAUUUUGGGAUGAUACAACCAAAGGGGGAGGGGUUCUAUAUAUAACAAACCAAACCCCCUCCAUUUCUAUCUUUUCCUAAUGUGGGAUAUUGCCAAUAUUCAACAGGUGGAUCGAAAGGAGGAGUUUGCAAAAUCCGUAUCUGAAAUGGCUACGGUAAGCAAUCAAAGUGUUAAUGUUGGUGGGUCUUCUUAUAGUAAUUUGGACUGUUUAGUAGAAGAUAUUAGAAUAAUGAGCUUGAAAAAACUCACAAAAUGAGCUUUGAACCACCCAGCCGUUGGGGGGUUCUCUUCAUUUUAAUUUUUUUAUUGCAAUAUCUCUUUCAACAAAGUAAUUGAAUAGCAGUAAAACUUUUCAAAAUAUCCUUACAUGAUUGAAUAUCUUUAUCAAUUACAAUCACCAAUUUUUUUUAUUAUUAAGCUUAAAAAUAUGUACAACAAUAGUUACUUAAAUCCUAUCAAAAUAUGCCAAUAAAAUAGGUAAAUUACAAACAACUCAAUUGCAAGUUAAGUUGUGACUAACUGAGUAAUUGAGGAAUGAUGCAAGCCCCAUGACCCAACAACCAGUUUCAGACUAAUGGAUGUGAUGAGUUCACAUCAUCUCAAAGCUCAACAAUAGUGUCAAAGGCCAAACAAAUCAAACCAAGAUCCAAUCAAAGACAAUAUUCGAGUAUGAAUUUUUUCGAGGAAAGGGGGAUGAUAUAUGUUCGGAUGGGAUGAAAUUUAUUAAAUUUCAUACACCAAAGCUGUCAACUUUCAAGUUUAGGAAAUCAACAAACUUGCAGCGCCUUUUUAGAUGGGAUCCAGGCAUAUCUGGGUAGAGAUUCUUCAUGGCGUUCGAAAUUUAUCUAUCUUGGAUUUGAUUGCUUUUCAGACUAAUUACCAAGUAAUUGACGAACUCAAGACCCAAUUUCAGACUAAUGGAUGUGAUGAGUUCACAUUACCUCAAAGCUUAACAAUAGUGUCAAAGGCCAAACAAGUCAAACCAAGAUUCAAUCAAUGAUAAUAUUCGAGUAUGAAUUUUUUCGAGGAAAGGGGGAUGAUAUAUGUAUGGAUGGGAUGAAAUUUAUUAAAUUUCAUUCACCAAAGUUGUCAACUUUCAAGUUUAGGAAAUCAACAAACUUCCUACAUUUUGUCGAAAACUGGACAUUGAAGAUUCAUUUAUGAAGCUAGUCGUAAAAAAGACACGAAAGAGCCUUCAAGCAGAUGCCUUGAUACUCAACACCGCUGAAGAGCUCGAUGGGCCUAUACUAUCUCAAAUAUGCACCAAAUGCCCUCGUGUCUAUGCCGUUGGACCCUUACAUGCUCAAUUAAACACUAGACUCAAUGUAAAACAUGGAGAAUCAUAUGAUUAUUUCUCGAAUACACUUUGGGAAGUGGAUAAAAGCUGCAUCUUUUGGCUCAAUAAGCAACCAAAUCGAUCUGUUAUCUAUGUAAGUUUUGGUAGCAUUACGAGCAUGUCAAGGGAGCAACUUUUAGAGCUUUGCUAUGGACUUCUUAACAGUAAAACGAAGUUCUUGUUUAUUGUAAGGCCAAAUUCCGUGAUUGGAAAAGAUGGUGAAGGGGAGGAUGUUGUAAUGGAGCUUAUGGAGAAGAGUAAGGAUCGAGGUUACAUUGUAAAUUGGGCACCACAAGAGGCGGUCUUGAACCACCCAGCCGUUGGCGGGUUCUUUACGCAUAAUGGAUGGAACUCGACUUUGGAGAGCAUCGUCGCACGGGUGCCUAUGAUUUGCUGGCCUUACUUUACUGACCAACACGUGAAUAGUAGGGUUGUGAGUGAGGUGUGGAAAAUAGGGUUGGAUAUGAAGGAUGUAUGUGAUAGAAAGAUAGUUGAGAAAAUGGUAAAUGAUGUGAUGGUGGAUCGAAAGGAGGAGUUUGCAAAAUCCGCAUCUGAAAUGGCUAAGGUAACCAAUCAAAGUGUUAAUGUUGGUGGGUCUUCUUAUAGUAAUUUGGACUGUUUAGUUGAAGAUAUUAGAAUAAUGAGCUUGAAAAAACUCACAAAAUGAGCUUUGAACCACCCAGCCGUUGGCGGGUUCUCUUCAUUUUAAUUUUUUUUAUUGCAAUAUCUCUUUAAACAAAGUAAUUGAAUAGCAGUAAAACUUUUCAAAAUAUCCUUACAUGAUUGAAUAACUUGAUCAAUUACAAUCACCAAAUUUUUUUAUUAUUAACCUUAAAAAUAUGUACAACAAUAGUUACUUAAAUCCUAUCAAAAUAUGCCAAUAAAAUAGGUAAUUUAUAAACAACUUAAUUGCAAAUUGAGUUGUGACUAACUGAGUAAUUGACGAAUGAUGCAAGUCUCAAGACCCAAUUUCAGACUAAUGAAUGUGAUGAUUCACAUUACCUCAAAGCCCAACAAUAGUGUCAAAGGUCAAACAAAUCAAACCAAGAUCCAAUCAAAAACAAUAUUCGAGUAUGAAUUUUUUCGAGAAAAGGGGGAAUGAUAUAUGUAUGAAUGGGAUGAAAUUUAUUACAUUUCAUUCACCAAAGCUGUCAACUUUCAAGUUUAGGAAAUCAACAAACUUGCAACGCCUUUUUGGAUGAGAUCCAGGCAUAUCUGGGUUGAGACUCUUCAUGGUGUUCGAAAUUUAUCUAACUUGGAUUUGAUUGCGUUUCAGAUUAUGUCAAAAUCCAAGUUUCUUUCCUAACGUCUAGAGCCCUAAGUCGAAUUCACGACUUAAAUAAACUUUACGAUCCACUUCCACAUUCAUCUGCCUCAACCUUUAUCAAUGACACUAACAUUCUCACCCUUUGACACUAACAACUAGAGUAUUAUAUUCAUAAAAUGAGCUAAAAUAAAGAAGUAGCAAGUAGCAAACAUUAUGAAUAAACAGAAUACUUAACAGUAAUAAGCAUGCAAAAGGAGAACUCCCCUUCGAUGGUAGCAUCAAUACAUCCCCCCAAUAAACACAAUAGAAGGGGAGCGGACUUUUAUUUCUUUUCUUAAGAUGUGAAUGCAUGGUAAAGAUGGUUUUUUUUUGCACUAUAGGUAUGAAGUGGUUAUAAUAAUUAUUUUCUUUGCUCCACCCUACUUGAUGCGGUCAUUGAAAACACCAAAAAUAUCUUAUCCCUAAUAAAUAAUGAAAAAGAAUAGUAAAAGGGAAGCAGGGUCAAAUUCUUAAGGACUGGAUUUGCACAAUAUCAUGUUCCUUGAAAUCCCAGGCAAAAUCUUGCCCAAGAAAACCUGCGUGCCUGAAAAAAAAAUAAGAAAUAACAAAAUUAAAGGUUUGGAUCUGGAAAUAAAAAAUAAAAUAAAAACAGAAUUAAGAAUAUUGAAUCUAAAAUACGAGAGAUUAAAAAUAGAGUUGAGAUAAAGGAAAUUCUUAUGGGAGAUUCCAACCUCCAGUUGUCUCAUUCCGCCUUAGGUUUAAAUCCUCACCUUUUAGAUUAUCCUUCCCAGACCGAAUAAGCCAGUUAUAGUGGAAGAGGACGCCUACGACCACCAGCUCCAAGGAUUUAGAUUUACAAUUUAGUGGAACCUGACUCUAGCCAACAAUCGCUUCUGUGGGAUUGUCUUAUGCUAGAUCAACACUUCUCAAUGGCGAAUCCCACGCCUUUGUCUCUUGGGCUUGCCAACCUCUGACGCAGUAAGCUAACAAACCGACUGUGCAACCUUCCCAAAACAUACAAAGCGGCCGCAUUUGCAUUCGUUGAAAAGCUUACUUCUUAAGGGACAAGGACAGAAACAUCUACCCCGUAGUGCGGAGAAACGAUGAAUACUCAGCGAGGAGGCUAAGUACGGACUCUAAGCCUCAAGAACCCUUUUUGGGGAAUAUCGACAACCUUCGGCUAGAUGGGUUUAGUGGCUCAUGGUUGUGGUGGAAAAGAAAAUAAAUAUAAUAAAAAUAGAGAUUUUAUUGAAAGGAAAUAUGAGAAGAACAAAAGGCUACACUUUUGGGAAGAGAGUGUUUACAGAAAAAGAUCCAUCUCUUUUGAGUCACUUCACCCCCUAUUUAUAGUGAUAGAAGAGAUAGUCUAAUCCUACCUAAAUUCCCAAAAGAUAAAUACAUUUAAUUGAAGAUAAAUAAAGAUAAAUUAAAUAAAAUCCUAAAAUUAAAUAAUCUUUAAUAAUUAUCUUAAUAUUAAUUAUCCUAAUAUAAUUAAAAUAGAGUCUGAUAGAAUAAAAUCUCUUUUUUUUUGCAUUUCAACCCUUGUGUCCUCCAAGCUUGCACUUUUGACACCAACUUGUACUUGUCAUAUCGGACUUGUAUAAUCCCGUAAUAAUACUAUGCCCAUUGAACCAUCUAAAAUAUCGUAGGAUACGCGGGUGGUGCACACGAAGUGUACUGAAUGGUAAACCGUCAAUUCUUAUACAUGUGUGCUCAUACGAGCGAUAAACAGUAAGCUCAUCCGAGCUUAAUAUCAGUAAACUCUUCCGAGCAGAAUAACAAUAAGGUCAUCGAGGAUAGGUACAUGGACGUAGCUAAAGGGGCUGACAGGGGCCUUCAUCCCCCUAAAUGAAAAUUUUUUCAUGUAAGUCUUUUAAAAUUUUUGAAAUUUUAAAUUAUAAGAGAUAAAAUUACACUUUAACCCCUUAAAAUGAUAAAAUUUUGAUUUAAUCUUUUAAAAAUUAUAAAAUUAUAAACUAUUAAAAAUAAUGAAAUUAUAUUUUUAUCAUUAUAAGAAUUACAAGUUAAUUUUAGACAUGAAAAAGUUUUCUACUCUUGGAUAGAUAAGAACCUAAUUGGUUUCCUAAAAAUAUGAUAAAUAUAUCAUUUAUUUCUUAACUUAUAAAUUAAUACAUUCUCCACCUUAGCCAAAGACAUCUUUUGGCCAUUAAAUAGCUUCCAAAUUGUUGAUUCUUAAGCACAUAAAAGUCAAAAAGCCCCUCAAAACAGAUCAUCCAAUUAGAUGGAGGAGCAGGAUCGAUCCUCUCAACCCCGUCCUCCACAUGUCCUCAUCUUCCCCCUCCCAUUACAGGGCCAUAUAAACACCAUGAUUAAGCUGGCUGAACUGCUACCUAUCGCCGGCUUCAAGCUCACUUUCCUCAACUCCCACCACAACCAUAAACGCUUGGUCAAGUUCAACAAUAUUGCUGCCCAUUUUGAAAGAUACCCAGGGUUCGAAUUCAAGACCAUAACCGAUGGUCUCCCUCUUGAUCAUCCUAGGUCAGGGAGCUGGUUCCUUGAUAUGUUUGAAGAAACCAUGGAACCUAAGAUGAAGCAAAGUUUGAGAGAGGUACUUGUGAAUAGCAGCCCACCAGUAGAUUGCGUAAUUGCAGAUGGGUUUUUAGGCUUUGCUCUUGAUGUUGCAAAGGAGGUUGGAAUCCCCAUUAUUAUUUUUUUCAUACCAGCAGUUCUUGUUGUUUCAGGGUUUCUUAUUCUAUCCCUGAUAUAAUCCAAGCUGGGGAGCUUCCCAUCAAUGGUAAAUCCACUUCUUUCUCAUCAACUUUGUUUAUUGUACCAUGUUUAGCACUGUUUUUAACUUAGAAUAACACAAAACCUUAAGUCGAAAUGAUUUGACAAGCAUGUUGAAGAAAUUAACGAGAAAGACAUUUGGAAUAUUCCUGUUAAUUAGGCGAGUUGAUUUGGUUUAUGUAGGAUUAAUUCGAAAUUUAAAAUUUUUAAAUCAUUUCAUGUUUGAAUGAUUUUGAGUUUCAACGGGUUCUUGUCAUUUAGAUUUACUAAUUUAACUUUUAAAUUCGAAUUAUUUUUGGUUAUUUUGUUUUCGGGUCACUUUAGGUUAGCUAGCUGGGUAUUUUUGUGUCGAUUUUCAAGUUGAAUCAUUUCAGGAUUGUUUUUAUUCUGAUUUAAUACUUAAGUUUAGACCACUUUGGGUAACUUGUACCCGUUGUUUAUAAGUUCGAGUCGUUCGAAGUUGUGAUCAUAUUUGAGUUUAGAUUAUUUCGAAUUUAAAUUGUUAAAUUUCUAUGAUUAAAUAAAUUUGAAUCUGAUAUGAGUUUCAAUUAAUUGGGUUUGUGAUAAUUGACACUAGUAAAUGGGUUUUUGUUAUACAAUUGAAGGAAGUGAAGACAUGGACCGGCUAAUAACGACAGUGCCAGGCAUGGAAACUUAUCUUCGAUGUCGAGAUCUUCCAACUUUUUGUCGAAAACUUGACAUUGAAGAUUAAAUUAUGAAGUAAUAUCUCUUUAAACAAAGUAAUUGAAUAGCAGUAAAACUUUUCAAAAUAACCUUAAAAAGAUGUAAAACAAUAGUUACUUAAAUCCUAUCAAAAUAUGCCAAUAAAAUAGGUAAAUUACAAACAACUCAAUUGCAAGUUAAGUUGUGACUAACUGAGUAAUUGACGAAUGAUGCAAGCCCCAUGACCCAACAACCAAUUUCAGACUAAUGGAUGUGAUGAGUUCACAUCAUCUCAAAGCUGAACAAUAGUGUCAAAGGCCAAACAAAUCAAACCAAGAUCCAAUCAAAGACAAUAUUCGAGUAUGAAUUUUUUCGAGGAAAGGGGGAUGAUAUAUGUUCGGAUGGGAUGAAAUUUAUUAAAUUUCAUACACCAAAGCUGUCAACUUUCAAGUUUAGGAAAUCAACAAACUUGCAACGCCUUUUUGGAUGGGAUCCAGGCAUAUCUGGGUAGAGAUUCUUCAUGGCGUUCGAAAUUUAUCUAUCUUGGAUUUGAUUGCUUUUCAGAUUAUGUCAAAAUCUAAGUUUAUUUCCUAACGUCUAGAACCCUAAGUAAAAUUCGCGACUUAAUAAACUUUACAAUACACUUCCACAUUCAUCCGCCUCAACCUUUAUCAAUGACACAAACAUUCUCACCCUUUGACACUAACAACUAGAGUAUUAUCUUCAUAAAAUGAGCUAACAUAAAGAAGUAGCAAGUAGCAAACAUUAUGAAUAAACAGAAUACUUAACAGUAAUAAGCAUGCAAAAGGAGAACUCCCCUUCGAUAGUAGCAUCAAUACAUCCCCCCAAUAAACACAAUAGAACGGGAGCGGGCUUUUAUUUCUUUUCUUAAAAUGUGAAUGCAUGGUAAAGAUGGUUUCUUUUUUUGCAUUAUAUGUAUGAAGUGUUUAUAAUUAUUAUUUUCUUUGCUCCACCCUACUCAUUAUAUAAAGUUAUUAUUUUAUCCUAUAUAUUUGUUGAUACAACAUACAACAAGGAAGGAAGAUAAGGAGGAGGUCAAGAUGGUGCAAUGGAGGCCAAUUCACCUAAAGAGGUUGAGAGUCGAAACAAGAACAAAAUGACAAACUAACCAAGAAGACAAUUGCUCGGUAACUCUAGAGUGCUAAAAAAAAGGAUCUUUUUGCAUCAUUCCUUAGAAUAUUUUCUCUUGUCCAUUGAUAUGACAUGGUCAGAUAAACAUUCAAUCCCGCAAAAUGUGUAAAGGAUAUUUAUAGGCGUAAAUCAUGGGACCUUAUCAAUAUGAGAUUAUUGUGCCUAAAUGGACUCCUUAUCAUAUAAAGAGUGCAUUCAUACUAAGAGAAUGUUAAUACUUAAAACAGGUGGAUGGUUCCAUCUAAGAGGAAUGAGUGGUCUAUUGAAGCGUUACUUCAAAUGAAGUCAACAAAAGAUCUAUAAUGCAUCUGAUAUUGACACGUGUCCGAGUGACGGAGGGAUAUUUGGGCUUAUACAGUCCUUAUUAUUGCAACUAUGAUAAAAUCAUGCUGUAAUAAAUAAUUGUAGUCACGUGACAUGCAAUAAGAUUGAAUCUUUCUGAUUUCUUUUUGCAAGUUUUAAAAGUACGAGUUUGACAAUGUUGUCUUUAAUUGCAGGCUGAUUUGAUGCAAAUGCAAUUUUUUUUAUAAUAAUCAAAACAAUAAAUAAAUUGUGUCUAGUGCUCUCAUCUUUUAGAAUAUCUUAAUCUCCAUGACAGCUAUCAAAUAUAUAUAAAAUUUCAUUAUUCAAGAGGGUUAUUUUUGUUAAUAUGUCUGCAGUUUUAUUAUUCAUUUUAGGAACGUAUCUCAAUGAUCAUAUCUUCUUUUUAGCAAGGAUAUGUUGAAUCAUCCUAAUUAAGGUUAGUUUUUUCAAGCUUAUUAUCGCUAAUAGCUGUUACGACCUCAAGACUAUUAGAAUAAAUGAUAAUCUUAUCAUAUCCUUAUUUUUUUAAUAUGUGUAAACUAUUUAAUAUGUCCCAAAAGUCAACAGCUACAAACGAAUAUUUCUCCAAAAAGUGAUUAUAGUCCAAAAUCUAAUUUCUCUUCCCAUCACAUAUUACUCCACCUACAGCUUAAAAACUAGAAAUAGAAUUAACAGCACCUUCAAUAUUAAGAAGAAAACCCAUAGCUGCAGAUCCAUCACCAAGACUUCAUUAUUUGUUGGCCUUGCUUUGGUGACCAACAAUUGAACAGUAGGUUUGUGGAGGAAGUCUGGAAAUUAAUUAGGAUUAGAUAUGAAGGAUGUGUGUGAUAGGAGAGUUGUGGAGCAAAUGGUGAAUGAUUUAAUGGUGGAAAAAAGGGAGGAGAUUUUGAAAUCAGCUGCUGAAUUUGCUAAAUUAGCCAAAAGAUCUGUGAAUAUUGGUAGGUCUUCGUAUUAUAAUUAGAACUGUCUAAUUGAGGACAUAAGAAUGGUGAAUAAAAAUUGUUAAAAACGUGAAAUUUUGAGAUAGGGACAACAAAAUAAGGGGCCUUUCCCUUCCCCACUUUUUUUAUUAAAUUAUUUCCUAGGUUCCUGCUAAUUUCGAGUUAAACAAUUUGACCCUAAUUUCUUUAAUUAUCUUUUACAUCUUUGUCAACUUUUAAAGUAAUAAUCGUAUUUGUUUGCUUUUAUACUAAUAUAUGAUUUUCAAUUGAUAAAAAAAAAUUAAAAAUUAGUUGAAAAUACUAAUAUCUCGUAUUAAUUGAUAAGAGUUACGAUAAUUAUCAAUAUAAAUCGAUAUUGAUUGAAAUUAAUUAAAAUAUAUUAAUUUUUUUACUAAAAUUGAACUUAAAUAAUUUGGUAUCAAAAUGGUGGGGACUAUUAUCCAAUAAUGUUUUCUCUUGAUUCUGUCCCUGCCCGAAGUAGCUAGUGAAGGGGAAUAAAGAUGUUUCGUAUAGGAAAAUUGCUUUAACGAAAAUGGUGAAUGAAAUUGAUAUGGUUGAAAACAAAGAAGAGACUGAGAAAUCUGUCGGCGGCCCUUGCUGCAAUUUCGAUUGUUUUAUUAAAGACAUAAAAGAACAUGUUGUAAUUAAUUAACUUGCAGUCACAUGGCAUGCGAUGAAGAUGGAUUUUUUUUUUUAAAUUAGAUUCAAGGUUAUUAAAUAUUAAUAAGUUUAUAUUUUGAUUAAUUAAUUAGAUACAAAAUAAUCACUAAACUAUUCAAAAGAUUUUGUUUAAGUCAUUAGCUUUAAGUUUGGUUUACAAGCUUCAAACAACAAUUCGACGAAUAAUAUGGUAGAUCAGUACCCAUUAAAAAAUAGAAGAACUUAACAUAGAUCCAAGUCGAUCUGACAGUCAAUGUUGGAGAUUGAAGAAGAAUGUUAUUUGGACUUUGGCUCGUAAAUAUGAAAAGAAAUUGAACCGUAAAAGAAAAGGGGAAGAAAAGUUUUCAAUUUGUACAAGCGAUGCGAACGGAAAAAACUAUACAAUAAAACAAAGUAAUUGAACAAAGUAAUUGAAUAAUUAUCUUUCAAAAAUUAUAAAAAUAUAAACUAUUAAAAAUAAUGAAAUUAUAUUUUAAUCAUUAUAAGAAUUACAAGUUAAUUUUAGACAUGAAAAAGUUUUCUACUCUUGGAUAGAUAAGAGCCUAAUUGGUUUCCUAAAAAUAUGAUAAAUAUAUCAUUUAUUUCUUAACUUAUAAAUUAAUACAUUCUCCACCUUAACCAAAGACAUCUUUUGGCCAUGAAAUAGCUUCCAAAUUGUCGAUUCUUAAGCACAUAAAACUCAAAAAGCCCCUCAAAACAGAUCAUCCAAUUAGAUGGAGGAGCAGGAUCGAUCCUCUCAACCCCGUCUUCCACAUGUCCUCAUCUUCCCCCUCCCAAUACAAGGCCAUAUAAACUCCAUGAUUAAGCUAGCUGAACUGCUAGCUAUCGCCGGCUUCAAGCUCACUUUCCUCAACUCCCACCACAACCAUGAACGCUUGGUCAAGUUCAACAAUAUUGCUGCCCAUUUUGAAAGAUACCCAGGGUUCGAAUUCAAGACCAUAACCGAUGGUCUCCCUCUUGAUCAUCCUAGGUCAGGGAGCUGGUUCCUUGAUAUGUUUGAAGAUACCAUGGAACCUAAAUGAAGCAAAGUUUGAGAGAGGUACUUGUGAAUAGUAGCCCACCAGUAGAUUGCAUAAUUGCAGAUGGGCUUUUAGGCUUUGCUCUUGAUGUUGCAAAGGAGGUUGGAAUCCCCAUUAUUUUUUUUUGUACCAGCAGUCCUUGUAGUUUCUGGGUUUAUUAUUCUAUCCCUGAUAUAAUCCAAGUUGGGGAGCUUCCUAUCAAUGGUAAAUCCUCUUCUUUCUCAUCAACUUUGUUUAUUAUACCAUGUUUAGCACUGUUUUUAACUUAGAAUAACACAAAACCUUAAGUCGAAAUGAUUUGACAAGCAUGUUGAAGAAAUUAACGAGAAAGACAUUUGGAAUAUUCCUGUUAAUUAGGCGAGUUGAUUUGGUUUAAGUUGGAUUAAUUCGGAAUUUAAAAUUUUUAAAUCAUUUCAUGUUUGAAUGAUUUUGAGUUUCAAUGGUUCUUGUCAAUUAGAUUUACUAAUUUAACUUUUAAAUUCGAAUUAUUUUUGUUAUUUUUGUUUUCGGGUCACUUUAGGUUAGCUAGCUGGGUAUUUUUGUGUCGAUUUUCAAGUUGAAUCAUUUCAGGAUUUUUUCCAUUCGGGUUUAAUACUUAAGUUUGGACCACCAUGAAUAAUUUGUUCCCGUUAUUUUUAAGUUCAAGUCGUUCGAAGUUGUGAUCAUGUUUGAGCUUAGAUCAUUUCAAAUUUGAGUUGUUAAAUUUAUAUGAUUAAAUAAAUUAAAUCUGAUAUGAGUUUGAAUUAAUUGGGUUUGUGAUCAUUGACACUAGUAAAUGGGUUUUUGUUAAACAAUUGAAGGAACUGAAGACAUGGACCGGUUAAUGACGACAGUGCCAGGCAUGGAAACUUAUCUUCGAUGUCGAGACCUUCCUACUUUUUGUCGAAAACUGGACACUGAAGAUUCAAUAUUUAUGAAGCUAGUCGUAGAACAGACACGAAAGAGCCUUCAAGCCGAUGCCUUGAUACUCAACACCGCCGAAGAGCUCUAUGGGCCUAUACUAUCUCAAAUACGCACCAAAUGCCCUCGUGUCUAUGCCGUUGGACCCUUACAUGCUCAAUUAAACACUAGACUCAAUGCAAAACAUGGAGAGUCAUAUGAUCACUUCUCGAAUACACUUUGGGAAGUGGAUAAAAGCUGCAUCUUUUGGCUCAAUAAGCAACCGGGUCGAUCUGUUAUCUAUGUAAGUUUUGGUAGCAUUACGAGCAUGUCAAGGGAGCAACUUGUUGAGCUUUGGUAUGGACUUCUUAACAGUAAAACGAAGUUCUUGCUUGUUGUAAGGCCAAAUUCCGUGAUUGGAAAAGAUGGUGAAGGGGAGGAUGUUGUAAUGGAGCUUAUGGAGAAGAGUAAGGAUCGAGGUUACAUUGUAAAUUGGGCACCACAAGAGGCAGUCUUGAACCACCCGGCCAUUGGCGGGUUCUUUACGCAUAAUGGAUGGAACUCGACUUUAGAGAGCGUUGUCCCAGGGGUGCCUAUGAUUUGCUGGCCUCAGUUUGCUGACCAACACGUGAAUAGUAGGGUUGUGAGUGUGGUGUGGAAAAUAGGGUUGGAUAUGAAGGAUGUAUGUGAUAGCAAGAUAGUGGAGAAAAUGGUAAAGGAUGUGAUGGUGGAUCGAAAGGAGGAGUUUGCAAAAUCCGCAUCUGAAAUGGCUAAGGUAACCAAUCAAAGUGUUAAUGUUGGUGGGUCUUCUUAUAGUAAUUUGGACUGUUUAGUUGAAGAUAUUAGAAUAAUGAGCUUGAAAAAACUCACAAAAUGAGCUUUGAACCACCCAGCCGUUGGCGGGUUCUCUUCAUUUUAAUUUUUUUUAUUGCAAUAUCUCUUUAAACAAAGUAAUUGAAUAGCAGUAAAAAUUUUCAAAAUAUCCUUACAUGAUUGAAUAUCUUGAUCAAUUACAAUCACCAAAAUUUUUUUAUUAUUAACCUUAAAAAGAUGUGCAACAAUAGUUACUUAAAUCCUAUCAAAAUAUGCCAAUAAAAUAGGUAAAUUACAAACAACUCAAUUGCAAGUUAAGUUGUGACUAACUGAGUAAUUGAGGAAUGAUGCAAGCCCCAUGACCCAACAACCAGUUUCAGACUAAUGGAUGUGAUGAGUUCACAUCAUCUCAAAGCUCAACAAUAGUGUCAAAGGCCAAACAAAUCAAACCAAGAUCCAAUCAAAGACAAUAUUCGAGUAUGAAUUUUUUCGAGGAAAGGGGGAUGAUAUAUGUUCGGAUGGGAUGAAAUUUAUUAAAUUUCAUACACCAAAGCUGUCAACUUUCAAGUUUAGGAAAUCAACAAACUUGCAACGCCUUUUUGGAUGGGAUCCAGGCAUAUCUGGGUAGAGAUUCUUCAUGGCGUUCGAAAUUUAUCUAUCUUGGAUUUGAUUGCUUUUCAGAUUAUGUCAAAAUCUAAGUUUAUUUCCUAAAGUCUAGAACCCUAAGUCAAAUUCGCGACUUAAACAAACUUUACGAUACACUUCCACAUUCAUCUGCCUCAACCUUUAUAAUGACACUAACAUUCUCACCCUUUGACACUAACAACUAGAGUAUUAUCUUCAUAAAAUGAGCUAACAUAAAGAAGUAACAAGUAGCAAACAUUAUGAAUAAAUACUUAACAGUAAUAAGCAUGCAAAAGGAGAACUCCGCUUCGAUGGUAACAUCAAUACAUCCCCGCCCCCAAUAAACACAAUAGAACGGGAGCGGGCUUUUAUUUCUUUUCUUAAAAUGUGAAUGCAUGGUAAAGAUGGCUUUUUUAUUUUUUGCAUUAUAUGUAUGAAGUGUUUAUAAUUAAUAUUUUCUUUGCUCCACCCUACUCAUUAUAUAAAGUUAUUAUUUUACCCUAUAUAUUUGUUGAUACAACGUACAACAAGGGAGGAAGAUAAGGAGGAGGUCAAGAUGGUGCAAUGGAGGCCAAUUCACCUAAAGAGGUUGAGAGUCGAAACAAGAACAAAAUGACAGACUAACCAAGAAGACAAUUGCUCGGUAACUCUAGAGUGCUAAAAAAAGGAUCUUUUUGCAUCAUUCCUUAGAAUAUUUUCUCUUGUCCACUGAUAUGACAUGGGCAGAUAAACAUUCAAUCCCGCAAAAUGUGUAAAGAAUAUUUAUAGGCAUAUAUCACGGGUCCUUAUCAGUAUGAGAUUAUUGUGCCUAAAUGGACUCCUUAUCAUAUAAAGAGUGCAUUCAUACUAAGAGAAUGUUAAUACUUAAAAUGGGUGGAUGGUUCCAUCUAAGAGGGAUGAGUGGUCUAUUGAAGCGUUACUUCAAAUGACGUCAACAAGAGGUCUAUGAUGCAUCUGAUAUUGACACGUGUCUGAGUGACGGAGGGGUAUAGCAACAUUAAAUAUAUGUUCGAGCCUUGAAUUACAUAGUUAAGACUUAGUGGUUUCUGACAAUGUUUUUAUAAUUGAACCCGUGAUCAAACCGAUCAGACCACCAAUUUUUAAUUUAAUUGAUUCAAUCGAUUAAAUCUAUUGAUUCAAUAAAAAAUAAAUUAUAAAUAUAAAAUCUAAUUAUUUAUAAAUUUUGAAAUCUCAUUAUUAAAGUUUUGUAAGUCCACUUUAAGACUAUAUAUAGCCCAUUGAUUGAAAAUCUGUAAAUCCACUUUUAAAGAAUUUAAAAGUUCCUUGUGAAUAUGCAACUCAUCUCUUUUACCCUUUAGACUUGUAAACUUCUCUUCCACUUCCUUUUUGUCAUUCCCUCUUCUCAUUUAUUCUAACUAUUUCUUAAAUGAUCGGUUUUUUUCUAUUCAUUGCUUCUUCUCAAAUACCCAAAUCUCUUUCGUAUCAUUCCAAAUCUCAUGUUUUUCUUUUUCUUUCUUUACAUAAAUAAAAUAUUAUUCUAAUCGAUUUUUUUUGUCAAGUUUCUAAACCCUAUUUAAUUGAAUUUUAAUUGGUUCAUAAUAGUUCGUUUGUUAUCCAUUUUAAUAAAUAGUGUUGGAUGGUCAAAUCUACCAAUUUUCAAUCCAAUCAAUUUAAUUAAUCAAUACAAUUCAAUUUCGACAAUAUUAAUUUCUGAUUUCUAGUUGCUAAUAUAAGAAAAUUAAAUAAAUUAAUUGUUAGGGAAUUUUUAAUUUUUAAGGUAAAUUCAAUUCCUAUUUACUUGGGAGGUUGUCCUAAGUAAUCAAAAUUAUGUUUAAAAUAUUAAAAAUAAUUAAGAAAAAUCAAAAUGAAACAACGUAUGGUAAAAUGAGAAUGGAUAUAUUUAAUAUCUAUAAUGGAAAUAAUAAAUUAUAAAAUUAAAUAUUUAUGAUGGAACGAAAUAGAUAAUAAAAUAAUUAAGAUUUAACAUUAUUUGCUAGGUAUUGUUACAUUUUCUUCCCAAUGGAGGGCAAUGUUAUGUUGGCUUUACUUUUUGGACCAACAAUUGAGAAGUCGCUUUUGUUUGGGAUUUUUUUUUUCCAGAAAUGGUGCAUGAAAGGGUCGGUGAAAAUGGGUAGAUUGGCUAAAUCAUGUGACAGUGUCGGUGGUCCUUAUUAUUGCAAUUUGCAGUCACGUGACAUGCAAUAAGGUGUAAUCUUUCUGAUUUUUUUUUUUGCAAGUUUUAAAAGCACGAGUUUGACAAUGUUGUCAUUAAUUGCAGGCUGAUUUGAUGCAAAUGCAAUUUUUUUAUUUAUAAUAAUCAAAACAAUACGAUUACAGUAAAGUAUUUAUAAAUAAAUUGUCUCUGGUGCUCAAUCUUUUAGAAUAUCUUGAAUCUCCAUAAGGGCUAUGGAACAUAUUUAAAACUUCAUCAUUUAAGAGUCAUUGUUGCUAAUGUGUCUAUUAUUUUAUUAUUCUUUUUAGGAAUGUAUCUUAAUGACCAUUUCUUUUCGUUAGCAAGCAUAUGUUAAAUUCCCUUAAUUAAAAUAGAGGUACUUUUUUCAGGCUUAUUACUGCUAAUUAUUGGAUACCUACAAUCUUUGACUUUUCAAAGAUGAAUAGUGGCAGAAAGUUGGCACCGAAAGUAGAAAGUAAGAUUAGUUGGCAUGGGAUAAUUGCAAUUUUGGUCCCUAAUUGUAUAGGGACAUUGCAAGUUGAUCCUUAAACCUCAACUAUAAAUAGGUCUAACCAUUUCUUACUUUCUUCAUCCCACACUUGCCAUUCUCUACUUAAGGCAAUUGUUCUCUCUCCCUAUUUGUAAACUUUCACUUGUAUUUUUGGAGUGAAAUAUAUUUGGUAGUGCCCGAGGACGUAGGCAAAAUUUGCUGAACCUCGUUAAAAUUCUAGUGUUCUUUAUUUUUUGUUCUGCAUAUUUUGCAAGUGUCAUUGUAGUGAUUUAUUGUGCUAUUAAAUUACGAUAGAGGGAUAUUCUGGCUAGGAAAGAUCUGGUAUGUAAGCGAUCCUCGUGAUCCACCUCUCUUUCCUGGGAAUUGAACUUAGUGUGAUUUUUCAGUACAAUAAUUUUACUCUUUCACACGCUUCCGCGCAACAAUUGGUAUCAGAGCCAGGUUCGUACUUGGGGAAUACGACCGUUUACGGUACUAUUCACGUAUACGGCACUAUUCACAUAUAUAGUACUAUUCACGUAUAUGACACUAUUCACGUAUACGGUACUGUUCACGUAUACAGUAGUUGGGAUUGAGGAGAAAAAUGGCAGCAGCAUCGUCAUCAGUAAGGACUACUGUGACAAAUGCAAAAUUUGAAGUAGAGAAAUUUGACGGUACCAAUAAUUUUGGUAUGUGGCAGUGUGAGAUCCUGGAUGUCUUAUGUCAGCAAGAGCUGGAUAUAGCCAUUGAAGAAAAACCUGACAAGAUGGAUGACAAGGAGUGGGCCAAGAUCAAUAGACAGGCGUGUGGUACAAUCCGCCUAUGUUUGGCCAAAGAGCAGAAGUACUCCGUCAUGAGGGAGACAUCAGCGAAGAAGCUGUGGGAUACAUUGGAAGAAAAGUUUCUAACGAAAAGUCUUGAAAAUAGGCUUUAUAUGAAAAAGAAACUUUUUCGGUUCACGUAUGCACCCGGUAUGUCGAUGAAUGACCAUGUGAACUCAUUCAAUAAAAUUUUAGCAGACUUGUUAAAUUUGGAUGAGAAAUUUGAAGAUGAAGACAAUGCAUUAUUGUUGUUGAAUUCCCUUCCUGAUGAAUAUGAUCAUCUUACCACCACAUUGCUUCAUGGGAAAGAUUCAAUCACAUUUGAUGCAGUCUGUAGUGCGUUGUAUAGAUCUGAGACUCGAAAGAAAGAUAAAAGAGAUCACAGAGAUACAACUGCAGAAGUCUUAACAGUAAGAGGUCGUUCACACACAGCAAACCUGGUAGAAGGGGUAAGUCCAAAGGGAGACCCGCCAAAGAUGAAUGUACCUUUUGUCGUGAGAAAGGGCAUUGGAAAAAGAAUUGUCCUAAGUUACAAAAGGGCAAGUCUAUUUCUAAUGCAUGUGUAGCGGAGCAUGAUGAGGAGUCAGACUUUAGCUUGGUUGGCAUGGCAAUGGCAUGUCAAACGGAUGAGUGGAUAUUGGAUUCGGGAUGUACUUACCAUAUGUGUCCUAAUAAGGACUGGUUUUCUAGUCUUGAAGAACUAGAAGGUGGAGUUGUUUUAUGGGCAAUGAUAGUGCCUGUAAGACAAUGGGUGUAGGUACAAUCAAAUUGAAGAACCAUGACGGCUCAAUCCAAGUUCUGACAGAUGUUCGCUAUGUACCCAGCUUGAAGAAAAAUCUCAUCUCAUUAGGGGCCCUAGAAUCUAAAGGGCUCACAAUCACUUUGAGAGAUGGAUUACUAAAGGUAGUAGCUGGGGUAUUGACGGUGAUGAAAGGCACUAGAAGAAAUAACUUGUACUAUUUAAAUGGAAGUACAGUUAUUGGAUCAACAUCAACAGCUUCUGCGAAAGAUGCAGAUUCAGAGGCUACCAGGUUAUGGCAUAGGCGAUUGGGACAUACUGGUGAAAAAGCUUUGCAGACUUUGGCGAAUCAAGGCUUGUUGAAAGGUGCAAAUUCUUGCAAAUUGGAAUUCUGUGAACAUUGUGUUCUGGGCAAGCAGACGAGGGUAAAAUUUGGUUCAGCAAUUCACAAUACGAAAGGAAUUCUGGACUAUGUUCACAGUGAUGUGUAGGGACCUACCAAAGUGGCUUCUUUGGGAGGUAUGCACUAUUUUGUCACUUUUCUUGAUGAUUAUUCAAGAAAAGUAUGGGUGUAUCUAAUGAAAAGAAAAAAUGAAGUUUUGGAUGCAUUUCUGAAGUGGAAGAAGAUGGUGGAGACUCAGACAGGUCGAAAGGUCAAACGACUUCGAUCAGAUAAUGGUACUGAGUACAAAAAUGAUCCAUUUCUACAAGUAUGUCAAGAUGAGGGCAUUGUGCGACACUUCACUGUUCGAGAUACACCACAGCAGAAUGGGGUGGCAGAACGCAUGAAUCGGACUAUACUGGAGAAAGUUCGAUGUAUGUUGUCCAAUGCUGGAUUGGGCAAGGAAUUUUGGGCUGAGGCAGUUACAUAUGCGUGCCAUCUAAUUAACCGAUUGCCAUCAGCUGCAAUAAAUGGAAAAACUCCUAUGGAGAUGUGGACUGGUAAACCUGCUACUGAUUAUGAUUCUUUACAUGUUUUUGGUUCCACUGCAUAUUAUCAUGUAAAAGAAUCUAAGUUAGACCCAAGAGCAAAGAAAACAUUAUUCAUGGGUAUAACUGGUGGUGUAAAAGGAUACUGUCUCUGGUGUCCUGAUACAAGGAAGAUUGUUUUCAGUAGAGAUGUAACUUUUGAUGAAUCAACCAUGAUGAAGAACGAGGAUUCACAAAAGGAUGACAAAACCAGUAGUACUUUGCAGCAGGUGGAGUUUGAAAAGGUUAAUGAUGAUCCAGCUAAUAUUGGAAGAACAAAUGAUGAAGAAGUUUCGACCCAAGAACUUCUACAGCAACAAGAUUCAAUUGCAUAUAGGAGGCCAAGAAGAGAGAUUCGUAAGCCUGCUCGCUUUGACGAUAUGGUGGCCUAUGCACUUCCAAUUGCAGAUGAUGAUGUCCCUUCCACUUACACAGAAGCAAUAAGUAACUCUGAUGGUGUAAAGUGGAAGCAAGCUAUGAAUGAAGAAAUGCAGUCUCUUCAUAAAAAUAGGACUUGGGAGUUGGUGAGACUGCCCAAGGGAAAGAAGGCAAUUGGAUGCAAAUGGGUAUAUGCAAAGAAGGAAGGAUUUCCUGGUAAAAAUGAAAUUCGAUACAAGGCUAGAUUGGUAGCAAAGGGUUACGCUCAGAAAGAAGGAAUAGACUACAAUGAAGUGUUUUCUCCAGUUGUGAAGCAUUCGUCUAUUCGGAUUUUGCUAGCCUUGGUUGCGCAAUAUGAUCUUGAACUAGUUCAGCUUGAUGUGAAGACCGCCUUUUUACACGGUGAUUUGGAAGAGGAAAUCUAUAUGACUCAGCCAGAUGGAUUCAAGGUUGCUGGAAAAGAAAAUUGGGUUUGCAAACUGACAAAGUCGCUUUAUGGAUUGAAGCAAUCUCCGAGGCAGUGGUACAAGCGAUUUGAUCAGUUCAUGAAAGGGCAAAGGUACACAAGAAGUAAAUUUGAUCAUUGCGUGUAUUUUCAGAAGCUACAAGAAGGAACUUUCAUAUACUUGCUCUUAUAUGUUGAUGAUAUGCUAAUAGCAUCUAAGAGCAAAGUUGAGAUUGAAAGAUUGAAGACUCAACUCAAUCUCGAGUUUGAGAUGAAAGAUCUAGGAGAAGCUAAAAAGAUUCUCGGCGUGGAAAUAUGUAGAGAUAGAGCUCAUGGCAGAGUUAGCUUGUCUCAGAAGCAGUAUUUGAAGAAAGUACUACAGCAGUUUGGCAUGAACGAGCAGACCAAACCUGUAAGUACCCCGUUGGCUUCUCAUUUCAAGCUUUCUGCACAACUAUCUCCUUCGACGAAUACGGAACGAGAAUACAUGUUGCAAGUUCCGUAUUCUAAUGCAGUGGGUAGCUUGAUGUAUGCAAUGGUGUGUACAAGACCCGACAUUUCACAGGCAGUUAGUAUAGUGAGCAGGUAUAUGCAUAAUCCUGAAAAAGGACAUUGGCAAGCUGUGAAAUGGAUUCUACGGUAUAUUCAGAAGACCGUGGAUGUUGGAUUACUGUUCAAGCAGGAUAAUACACUUGGUAAAGGUGUUAUUGGGUACGUUGAUUCUGACUAUGCCGGUGAUUUGGACAAGCGAAGAUCAACCACCGGUUAUGUGUUUACACUUGCUGGAAGAUCAAUAAGUUGGAAGUCUACACUACAAUCUACAGUUGCAUUGUCAACCACAGAAGCCGAAUACAUGGCUGUAACAGAGGCUGUAAAGGAGGCUAUUUGGUUACAAGGUAUGGCUAAAACCUUGGGGUUGGUUCAGGAGCAUAUUAGCGUGUAUUGUGAUAGUCAAAGUGCUAUUCAUUUAGCAAAGAAUCAAGUCUAUCAUGCACGUACAAAACAUAUUGACGUACGAUUCCAUUUUGUGCGGGAAAUUAUUGAAGAGGGGAAAAUUUGUCUUCAGAAGAUCAAGACUGCAGAUAAUCCCGCAGAUAUGAUGACCAAGGUGGUAACAACAACCAAGUUCGAACAUUGUUUGAACUUGAUCAAUAUCCUGCAAGUUUAACAGUUGAAGAAGGCACUAUCAAGUAUUGUUGUCAAAGGUAGAAAGAAUUGUGUGAAGAUAAGAUUAUCCUAAUCAAAUCUUCAAGGUGGAGAUUAUUGGAUACCUACAAUCUUUGACUUUUCAAAGAUGAAUAGUGGCAGAAAGUUGGCACCGAAAGGCACCGAAAGUAGAAAGUAAGAUUAGUUGGCAUGGGAUAAUUGCAAUUUUGGUCCCUAAUUGUAUAGGGACAUUGCAAGUUGAUCCUUAAACCUCAACUAUAAAUAGGCCUAACCAUUUCUUACUUUCUUCAUCCCAUACUUGCCAUUCUCUACUUAAGGCAAUUGUUCUCUCUCCCUAUUUGUAAACUUUCACUUGUAUUUUUGGAGUGAAAUAUAUUUGGUAGUGCCCGAGGACGUAGGCAAAAUUUGCUGAACCUCGUUAAAAUUCUAGUGUUCUUUAUUUUUUGUUCUGCAUAUUUUGCAAGUGUCAUUGUAGUGAUUUAUUGUGCUAUUAAAUUACGAUAGAGGGAUAUUCUGGCUAGGAAAGAUCUGGUAUGUAAGCGAUCCUCGUGAUCCACCUCUCUUUCCUGGGAAUUGAACUUAGUGUGAUUUUUCAGUACAAUAAUUUUACUCUUUCACACGCUUCCGCGCAACACUAAUAGCUGCUAUGACCUUGAUACUAUCAAAAUGAAUGGUAACAUCAUCGUAUCCUUAUUUUUUAACUAUGUGUAAGUCAUCAAAUGUGCCCCAAAGCUCAGUAGUUACAACUGAACAUUUCCCCAAAAAGCGAUUCUAGAAUCUAAUUUUCCUUCCCAUCACAUAUUAUCCCACCUACAGCGGAAAAACCAGAAAUGAAAUUAACGACACUUUCAGUAUUAAGAAGAAAACUCAUACCUAAUUUCGAACGUUCAGGAGACUAUUGCGGAUCCUUCACCAAGACUUCAUUAUUGAUUAAGUAAUAUUUCUUUGCUCAACUGUAAGAAACCUUAAUAAUUUUCUCCAAAUUCAUUGAUUUUCCUUGGAAGUUGAACAAGUUACGAUUUAUCCAGAAGAAGGAAGCCCAGACCGAAUCUGUCAUGUUUUUAUCUGAUUGGUCCUAUAGAUUCGAGAACAACCAUUUUAAAAUAUUACCUUCAAAGAUCCACUUAUUUUGAUUGGAAGAAAUUAUUUGAGUCCAAAUAUCCUUCGAACAUGAACAUCCCCUAAAAAUUAGUAAAACAUCCUCUGUAUGGUGACCACAAAAAUGACAUGACUCAUCAUCACCAGUUCCCGUUCGGACCCUUUCAGAGUUGGUUAAAAGUCUUUGAUUUAGGAUUUUCCAGAUAAACAUAUGACGGUGUACCAACGGAGCUCGUGGAAGGGACAAAAGAAAGAGGGUACAUAGUGGAUUGGGCUCCACAGGAAGAUGUCUUGGCCAUGGGGCUAUUGGUGGGUUUUGAGUCGUAGCGGAUGGAAUUCGACUUUGGAGAGCGUGACAGCGGGGGUGCCCAUGAUUUGUUGGCCUUGCUUUGGUGACCAACAAUUGAACAGUAGGUUUGUGAAGGAAGUGUGGAAAUUAGGAUUAGAUAUGAAGGAUGUGUGUGAUAGAAGAGUAGUGGAGCAAAUGGUGAAUAACUUAAUGGUGGAAAAAAGGGAGGAGAUUUUGAAAUCAGCUGAUGAAUUUGCUAAAUUGGCUAAAGGAUCUGUGAGUGUUGGUAGGUCUUCGUAUUAUAAUUUGGACUGUCUAAUUGAGGACAUAAGAAUGGUGAAUAAAAAUUGUUAAAAAAGUGAAAUUUUGAGAUAGGGACAACAAAAUGAGGGACCUUUCCCAUCCCCACUUUUUUUAUUAAAUUAUUUUCUAGGUUCCUGCUAAUUUCGAAUUAAACAAUUUGACCCUAAUUUCUUUAAUUACCUCGUACAUCUUUGUCAACUUUUAAAUUAAUAAUCGUAUUUGUUUGCUUUUAUACUAAUAUAUGAUUUUCAAUUGAUAAAAAAAUUAAAAAUUAGUUUAAAAUACUAAUAUCUCGUAUUAAUUUAUAAGAGUUACGAUAAUUAUCAAUAUAAAUCGAUAUUGAUUGAAAUUAAUUAAAAUAUAUUAAUUUUUUUUACUAAAAUUGAACUUAAAUUAUUUGGUAUCAAAAUGGUGGGGACUAUUAUCCAGUAAUGUUUUCUCUUGAUUCUGUCCCUGCCCGAAGUAGCUAGUGAAGGGGAAUAAAGAUGUUUCGUAUAGGAAAAUUGCUUUAACGAAAAUGGUGAAUGAAAUUGAUGGUUGAAAACAAAGAAGAGACUGAGAAAUCUGUCGGCGGCCCUUGCUGCAAUUUCGAUUGUUUUAUUAAAGACAUAAAAGAACAUGUUGUAAUUAAUUAACUUGCAGUCACAUGGCAUGCGAUAAAGAUGGAUUUUUUUUUUAAAUUAGAUCCAAGGUUAUUAAAUAUUAAUAAGUUUAUAUUUUGAUUAAUUAAUUAGAUAUAAAAUAAUCACUAAACUAUUCAAAAGAUUUUGUUUAAGUCAUUAGCUUUAAGUUUGGUUUACAAGCUUCAAACAACAAUUCGACGAAUAGUAUGGUAGAUCAGUACCCAUUAAGAAAUAAAAGAACUUAACAUAGAUCCAAAUCGAUCUGACAGUCAGUGUUGGAGAUCGAAGAAGAAUGUUAUUUGGACUUUGGCUCGUAAAUAUGAAAAGAAAUUGAACCGUAAAAAAAAAGGGAAGAAAAAUUUUCAAUUUGUACAAGCGAUGCGAAAAAAACUAUACAAUAAAACAAAGUAAUUGAAUAAUUAUCUUUUAAAAAUUAUAAAAAUAUAAACUAUUAAAAAUAAUGAAAUUAUAUUUUAAUCAUUAUAAGAAUUACAAGUUAAUUUUAGACAUGAAAAAGUUUUCUACUCUUGGAUAGAUAAGAGCCUAAUUGGUUUCCUAAAAAUAUGAUAAAUAUAUCAUUUAUUUCUUAACUUAUAAAUUAAUACAUUCUCCACCUUAACCAAAGACAUCUUUUGGCCAUGAAAUAGCUUCCAAAUUGUCGAUUCUUAAGCACAUAAAACUCAAAAAGCCCCUCAAAACAGAUCAUCCAAUUAGAUGGAGGAGCAGGAUCGAUCCUCUCAACCCCGUCUUCCACAUGUCCUCAUCUUCCCCCUCCCAAUACAAGGCCAUAUAAACUCCAUGAUUAAGCUAGCUGAACUGCUAGCUAUCGCCGGCUUCAAGCUCACUUUCCUCAACUCCCACCACAACCAUGAACGCUUGGUCAAGUUCAACAAUAUUGCUGCCCAUUUUGAAAGAUACCCAGGGUUCGAAUUCAAGACCAUAACCGAUGGUCUCCCUCUUGAUCAUCCUAGGUCAGGGAGCUGGUUCCUUGAUAUGUUUGAAGAUACCAUGGAACCUAAGAUGAAGCAAAGUUUGAGAGAGGUACUUGUGAAUAGUAGCCCACCGGUAGAUUGCAUAAUUGCAGAUGGGCUUUUAGGCUUUGCUCUUGAUGUUGCAAAGGAGGUUGGAAUCCCCAUUAUUUUUUUUUGUACCAGCAGUCCUUGUAGUUUCUGGGUUUAUUAUUCUAUCCCUGAUAUAAUCCAAGUUGGGGAGCUUCCUAUCAAUGGUAAAUCCUCUUCCUUCUCAUCAACUUUGUUUAUUAUACCAUGUUUAGCACUGUUUUUAACUUAGAAUAACACAAAACCUUAAGUCGAAAUGAUUUGACAAGCAUGUUGAAGAAAUUAACGAGAAAGACAUUUGGAAUAUUCCUGUUAAUUAGGCGAGUUGAUUUGGUUUAAGUUGGAUUAAUUCGGAAUUUAAAAUUUUUAAAUCAUUUCAUGUUUGAAUGAUUUUGAAUUUCAAUGGGUUCUUGUCAAUUAGAUUUACUAAUUUAACUUUUAAAUUCGAAUUAUUUUUGUUAUUUUUGUUUUCGGGUCACUUUAGGUUAGCUAGCUGAGUAUUUUUGUGUCGAUUUUCAAGUUGAAUCAUUUCAGGAUUUUUUCCAUUCGGGUUUAAUACUUAAGUUUGGAUCACCAUGGAUAAUUUGUUCCCGUUAUUUUUAAGUUCAAGUCGUUCGAAGUUGUGAUCAUGUUUGAGCUUAGAUCAUUUCUAAUUUGAGUUGUUAAAUUUAUAUGAUUAAAUAAAUUGAAUCUGAUAUGAGUUUGAAUUAAUUGGGUUUGUGAUCAUUGACACUAGUAAAUGGGUUUUUGUUAAACACUUGAAGGAACUGAAGACAUGGACCGGUUAAUAACGACAGUGCCAGGCAUGGAAACUUAUCUUCGAUGUCGAGACCUUCCUACUUUUUGUCGUAAACUGGACAUUGAAGAUUCAAUAUAUAUGAAGCUAGUCGUAGAACAGACACGAAAGAGCCUUCAAACCGAUGCCUUGAUACUCAACACCGCCGAAGAGCUCGAUGGGCCUAUACUAUCUCAAAUACGCACCAAAUGCCCUCGUGUCUAUGCCGUUGGACCCUUACAUGCUCAAUUAAACACUAGACUCAAU